GUGUGUCUGUUGUCGUUUGCCUUUCGGAACGGUUUCGUUGGUCGGGCGAUUUGUUAUUGCAAAAUUUCCCGGAAAAUGAUGGUCUUGCUUUGAAUUUUGCCUUUGUUUAUGCCAGACAUGACGAUGGUUUAAGUUUAUUUUCGUUUUGGUGUAGGUGAAUUGGAAAUGGCGCAGAAAAGAAGUGGCGAUAGCAGUUUCUCUAGUUUUCUGAAGGAGUCUGAGAGUCCUAAGAAAGGGAAAGUUUCAAGUAGUUAUGGACCAACUGACAAUUUCCAGUCUUCUGUUGUGGAGUUGAAAGGGUCUUCUGUGACGAACAAUCGAAAGUUGAGGGUUGUACAUAUUGCUAUUGGAUCUGUUGGCACUAGGUAUUCUUCAUAUGCCCCUCUUUUGGUGGUUGAUUUUGUGGACACGAAUGGAGUUUUUGUUCGUGGCUACACUUUUAUCAAGAGCCUUGUCAGGUCUGUACCUGAAGUGUUGCACCUGGAUGACAUUGUUUUUGUCCGAGGUGGCUUGGUGGAGGUAUCAGACGCUGAUUAUACUUGGGUCAAGAGCUCUGUGGCCAUCAAGUUUGUAUCGAACACAAAAUUUGUUCUUGGCAAGCCUGACGACUCUUUUGCGUUCUACAUUUUUUUUUAUUGGGUUUUUAUUCUUUUGUUUUGUUUCUUGAAAUCUAAUGGCUUAUGUGUAUUGCGAAUCCGUCCGAGAUGGGAAAGAGACUAUUCUGGGUCUAGUCGACAUUGGGCAGAAUAAUGUCGAAUUGAAUGUCACUCGAUGGGCGUCAAAGAAUUUCUCUUUGAAGAAAGUUGUAGUCAUCAAAGGAGUAAUCCAGAAAGCGAAGGAAGACGCUUUGGAGUUGGUGGCUUAUUUUGAUACCAUUAUCAAAGAUGCUCCUGCUGACGACGGAAAGGUUCGAGAAUUGCUGGACUGGAUUAACGAUGUUCCGGCUGUGGGUGCGUCAUCGAAGAAAGUCGAUGUUUAGGGAAGCCACUGUUGAAGCUGCGAUCAUGGGACCACGAGCAUUUUGGAUUGUUGUGUGAUUUCGUGUCUAAAAUGUUGCAUGUCUGAAGUCGUGUUAAAUUUUAUGUAGGCUGCCCUAUAUAACCCCGAUUAAUUUUAAUC